rnacentral:rRNA from 1 species
AGAUUGAACGCUGGCGGCAGGCCUAACACAUGCAAGUCGAGCGGUAGAGAGGUGCUUGCACCUCUUGAGAGCGGCGGACGGGUGAGUAAUGCCUAGGAAUCUGCCUAGUGGUGGGGGAUAACGUUCGGAAACGGACGCUAAUACCGCAUACGUCCUACGGGAGAAAGCGGGGGACCUUCGGGCCUCGCGCCAUUAGAUGAGCCUAGGUCGGAUUAGCUAGUUGGUGAGGUAAUGGCUCACCAAGGCGACGAUCCGUAACUGGUCUGAGAGGAUGAUCAGUCACACUGGAACUGAGACACGGUCCAGACUCCGUACGGGAGCAGCAGUGGGAAUAUUGGACAA